UCCCAGCAACCUGCCUUUUUACAGAGGAAAUGGAGUCCCAGAGAGGGGACAGGACUUGACCAGGAGCUCUGGGGCCGGGGGCUGCGUCCAUUCCCAGAUAUCCCCCCAACUCCCAGGCAAGAGGGCCUCCCUCUGCCCUCUGGGGCAGCUGUCAGGAUGAUGAGUGUCACCGUGGCGGUUCCUGUUCCCUCCCCUCAGCUGCCUGAGCAGUGCCGGGGGGACCAUCCUCUGCCCUGCCCUGGCCUCCAUCCCGUCACACCUGUCAGAGCCAACACAAAGCGGGUGAAUCCCCAGGAGCUGCUGGUGUCACACAGGAGGAGCUGGGGGGGGUCACCCCGGGAGCCUCAUGUCUCAGCUGAGAGCAGCAGCCGCUGUGUGGUGGACAGGGUCCUCGGCAUCCCAGCAGCCUGUGCUGAUCACUGUCCGCUGCACCUGGUUUGAAAAGGGUCAAAGUUCGCCUCCGCGAGACGCAGCGUCAGGAAGAAGCCUACUUUACCACUCCAGUGGGAGGAGGGCUGAUUUUCUCCUUGGCAAGCAACAGUCCCAGCCAAUGUGAAACUGCCAGGACUCAGCCAAUGGAAAGCUACUAGAUUUCAGAACUCAGUUUCCGCCAAUGGACAUUUUGUUUAUGAGAGCCCCUCCCAACUCACCCUUUUUCGCUAUAAAGUAAUAUUCCCCCCCUUUGUUCUCCAGACUUCCUAAGGUUGGCCAUGGCUAGCAUGUCCUGAAUUGCAAUUCCUCUGCCA